UGGGCACACGUCCUAAUGUUUCUAACAGGGGAGUGGUAUAAACAUCGGACACAUGUCCCAAUGUUUCUAACCAAAGCAAGGUGGUAUAAGCGUCGGACACACGUCCCAAACGCUUCUAACCGAAACAAGGCUUCAAAAGAGGGGGCAGGAAUGACCUUACCUGGAAUCCCUGAAUGAACCGUACAUACAGUAUCAUCUGGUUGCACCAGCCUUGAAUGAACCGUACAUACAAUAUAGUGUCUGCAUAAGAAAAAAACUUGACAGGUACAACACAAUAGGAAUGCAUAUUCUAUGCGAGACGAAAGACUGUAGCAUAAUGUUAGAGGCAUGCUUCAUGCACAACAUGCAAGAAACAAAAUAGAAACAUAUUCUAUGCAAAGUAAUCAAUGAUGCAUAUUCAAUGCAACAUGCAUAUUAUAUGCAAACAUGGUGAUGCAUGUUCUAUGCAACAAUUCAAAACACAUGUUCCAUGCAGCGACAAAGAAAUGCACAUUCUAUGCAACGACAAAACAUGUUUGAUAAAGACGACUCAAAGGUAACUUUCGAUUUACCUCUCGAAAGAGUUGCAAUAUGUCAAAAAGAAUACACCUUGUUCAAGCUAAUGAGCGAUGACCAUCACGCACUGGAAACGCAAUUCUGAGCUUCCGCGAAGGCAUUCUGAAUCAAACUAUGAGCAUACCUUGUAUUUAUUGGAAUCCAAGGACACAAAUUAAAGCCAAGGAGUCAGGAGAAGAUUGUGGAAGCAUGCCGGCCAUCAAGGGAGGCCGCCGGCCACCUGUCGGCCACUUGUAGUGCCUGCCGGCCACCAAUAUGCUACUGCCGGCCAUCGAUGUGCCACUACCGACCAUCGAUGGCAGAUUUGGGCAUUUUUAACCUUUCACCCUUAGGUCUUUAAAAACAAGUGAUGCCACUUCAUUUCCUCACAAACCUAUGUCCGAAAUUCUUCCCCCUUGCUCUCUAGGUGCUCCUUCUCUCUAGAUCCACGUGUCCUACACGUUUUCCAACACCCUAAAAACAUUUUCUUCGCUAAAACUCUCUAGUUCUCUUCACUUUGAACCGAUCAGAAUUUGAUUUCGACACUUCUUUCCUCAUUUCCACCAUUCUAGGCUUAUUGCCCUCGAGUUUCUCUCAAGCUUAGUACACUUUUCCCGACUUUGACUUUCUUUGACUUUUUUCUCUCUCCUAGGGUUGACUUUUUCAAAGUUUCACUCUUUUUCCUCAUUUUUCCUCACUUUUACUUCUCUUGCAUCUAUUUCAGAUGGCAGAUGAUGUCCCUCAUGAUGAGGCUAUCCCCAAGCUUCCUUCAGUAGAGUUCGAGGCAAACUUUGAGGCCGAGUUGGAGCUAUUACUGCCGAGCAUACGCCCCUUCGAUCCAGCGGGGUACCAUCCUGAGACUCAUAUAGUGCCUACCACAGGAGGCAUCAAAGCCUUUACUGACUUCGCUGAGGAUGUGCCAGAUGACCUUAUACUGAGAGAGCCAGCGUCUCAUUUGUCGGCCAUCGCCGCAGAGUUACGAACAUUAUUUUUCUGCAGUACUACCCUUAACUGUUUGCAUUCCAUGCACGGUUUUGAUCUGAUUUCAUCUCAUAGACUACCUUGCUCUGACUGUAUCUCAUACAUUACUGUUUUAUAUUCAACUGUUCCUUCAUUGCUUGAUAUACUUUCAUCUCAUGUAUUACCACAGGACGGAUCCUACUCUUUCAGAGGCUACGGUACGAUGACUGCUCAAGACUGGUACGGUGAGCUCCCAGUUAGGGUUCGCGACAUUAUUGAUGAGACAGGCUUUGGUCUCUUCUGCUCUAGCCUGACUCGGGUUGUGGCGAGUCGUCCUCUCUUAGGGGCUUUAGUGGAUAGCAGGUAGGACACCACCAACCCCUUCCAUUUCUCCACCACGGGGGAGAUGACGAUGACUCCUUACAACUUUGCCAUGAUCACUAGCUUGGGCGUAGGGAGUGAUCUAAUCCCUCUCGACCCUGAUAUGGGAUAGUGGGAGGCAGCAUGGGCCGUACUGCUUGGGACACACCCACCGACACUUCGAUUAGGCAUGGUCCGGUAUAGCUGGUUCGAGGAGCAGUUCAGGGGGUCUGGGCCCGAGACGGUCGAGGAGACAGAGAAGUAUGCCAGGGGCUUCCUUAUGUUCCUUUUCGGUACCACCUUGUUUUUGAACAGGUGGAAUACCGUUGGCUUGUAUCCGUUAAGCGCCUUAGUAAUGCGCCAGUGAGUUUAGUUCUAUGACUGGGGCGGAGUUGGCCUCACCACUUUAUAUGGAUACAUGAGCCCGACUUCUCGCAUGAGUGGAAGCUUGAACGAUGGCUACUGGCGGGCUUGGGAGCUGUGGGUGUACGCAUACUUCCCGGCUCUUGCUCCCGAGCCUAUAAAGGAGGUCCUAGCGAUAGUCUCAUUUUCUCGGGUAUACGACGGCCAGCUCUAUCGUAGGACCCGGGAAACUUCAUGUUUUUCAGCUAGUACUUCGACGUGGUCGUGGCACACAAGAUCACAUGGCAGCCAUGGGACGCAAUACCAUCGGGGCUUCCAUUCCAGUAUGACACAGCUAGGGUCAUCACUCGCCAUCAUAUCCUUCUCGAGGGCCCAAUCUAUCGCGCUUGGUUCUUGGCGAGUGUUUCGCACACCAGACUUUAGGACUGCCUGCCCUAUUCAUACCGAUGGUGCUUCCAGUGUCCAUGAGGGCGACGCACAGACUUUCAGCUAAGAAGGUGAUCCAGUUCAUGGUAGGACUGGAGACGGACUACUUUCGUGUAAUGGGCGAUUAUGCGACCUUCAUCCAAACACAUCUGAUGCCGCCUCUGACCGGCAUUCGUAGAGGUGAGGGAGCAAAAGCUCCAGCUACGAGAGAGAGAGAGGCAGAGGGGCCAGAGCGACCAGGACCCGUGGUAGGAGAGAUUCUGGAGAGAGACAGAGGGCGGGAUGGCCAGAGCUGCCUACUACAUUGACUUACUGGUGACCCACCGGGAAGACUUAUCAGAUUCCCAUUGAGCUCGCACCAGCUGGUCACAAGCUUGUCAAAGUUCGAGUCCCGACCCCGGUAUGUACCACACUUUACAUUUU